rnacentral:lncRNA from 1 species
GGGAUGACUGCGGAUCACAUGCUGAUAGAGCCAGGACUUAAACCCUGGUUUGUCUGACUGUAGCCCGACGUCUCUCACCUUAACUGUGCAAGGACAAGCUAUGCCACCUCCCCCACAGAAUACAGCAAAAGAGAAUCUCCCACCAAUGUCUGACAUCUCCUUAAUCCAUUUCCCAGGACAGACAGUCAUCCACAGUGCUCUCCAUGAAGCAUGCAUGCAUCUGCUAAGCAUAAACCACUCUGGGCCACUGAACGUGACACACAGGACCUGGGUGUAUGCCUCUGGUUCAUGGAGCCACAGCCUUCACAGAAAGGAUUCCACAGCGGAAAGUCAUCAGCAAAACAACUCAAGGAGUGAAAUAAGACCAAUCAGAUGUCCGAUCCUGUGGCUAGCUACCGUUAACCAUUAACGGGGUGUCUGGUAUGAACCUCAGAGCAGUCCCUGCAGAUGGGUACUGAGUAUAACCCCCGACUUGAAGAUGGAACAGCGGAGGCUCAAAGAAGCAGCAUGACUUUCUCAAGGUCACGUGGUGGCAGAGGUGGGGCCUUCAACACGGAUUUGCUCACUCCUGAGCCUGGACUUUUAAUCUUACCGCCCCGUGUGGUGUCCUCUGUUCCCUGGUUGCAUGUGUGUGUAUGUUUGUGUUUUGUUUAUGUGUAAGCUUGUGUAUGUGCAUGUUUGUAAGUGUGUGUGUAUUUUUUGCGUGUAUGUAUGUUUGUGUGUGCAUGUGUAUGUGUGUGUGUGUAUUGGGGAAGGGAGACAGAGAAGCCCAUUUAAGGUAAGUAGCAAGACAUGAAAUUUUCGCUUUAAUAACCCUCUUCCAAAUUGUAUCAAGUGGCUGUAAUUCCUGCGGCAGCCCUGACAGUGAGAGUGGGGUGGGCAGGAAUUGUGCAGGGAGGACGAAGAGGUAGGGGCAGAGGGGGGCGUGGCAGUGAGGGAUGAGUUUGGGUCAAGGACUGGCUAGGAGCCUGCAUCGCAGCCCGGGCGCCUUUGGAACUCCUCCACCUUUGUGUCUAACUCAGUGCCUCGCAAGCAAAUGUUCGUGAAAUGUCAAGAGCUGAACCAAACCGAGUGAGAUCAGUGCAACCUCUUCACCCAGCCCCCCUCAGUCUUCUCCCAUCACUGCCUGUGCCCUCUCCCUUCCCUCUCCCUGCCUGCUUUUCUUGGGUGCCACCAGUUUCAUGCCACAACCAAAGGACAUUUAAAAAAAAAGAUUUAUUUAUUUGAAAGGCAGAGUGGCAGAUUUAGAUAGAUAGAAAGAGGAUUGCAGGACUGAUCAAUAGAUAAAAUCUCUGUCUACUGGCUGAUUCCCUAAAUGCCUACAACAGCCAGGACUGGGCCAGGCCAAAGCUGGGAGCCAGGAACUCCUUCUGGAUCUCCUAUGUGGGUGGCAGGGACUCAAGGAUUUGAGCCAUUAUCUGCAGUCUCCCAGGCACAUUAGCAGGAAGCUCAGUUGGAAGCGGAGUAGCUGGAACCAUAACCAGGAACUCUAAAGUAGGGUGUGAGCAUCUGAAGCAGUCUUAACCUUACUGCCACCUGCCCCAGGACAGUUCUUAGUGGAGCUAUGUCAGGGCUCUUUGGUUAUGUCCCCGGUUAGGAAAGUGAUGCUGGUGAGACAAACACGCACAGAGCUCUCUGGGUGCCAGCCGCUGUUCUCAGCACUUUCAAUGUAUCAAUUUAUGGGAUUCUCUGUGAAGUAAGCAUGCUUACGAUCCACACCUUACAGAUGAGGAAGCUGAGGCACAGAGCUUAGGUAACCUGCUGAGGUCACUUGUGAAUUAGAGACCAAGUCCUUACUGAAACCCAGGUGAUCUGGCUUUAGUGUGUGUGCUCCUAACUACACCAAAUGGUCUGUUAGAAAGAGCUAGGGGGCACUGGUGCUGUGGCAUAGUGGAUAAAGGCACCGCCUGCAGGGCCAGUAACCCACAUGGGUGCUGGUUCGAGUCCUGGCUUCCCCACUUUCAAUCCAGCUCUCUGCUAUGGCCUGGAAAAACAGUGGAAGAUGGCCCAAGUCCUUGGGCCCUUGCACCUGCAUGGGCGACCCAGAGGAAGCUCUAGGUUCCUGACUUCAGAUCGGCCCAGCUGCUCCGGCCAUUGCAACCAUUUGGGUACUGAACCAGCAGAUGGGAGAUCCCUCUCUCUCUCUCUCUCUCUCUCUCUCUCUCUGCCUCUGCCUUUCAAAUAAAUAAACAAAUCUAAGAAAAAAAAAAAAAAAC